rnacentral:lncRNA from 1 species
GACAAAGCAAGCAAGGUUUCACUUGCUGCCUAAAACAAUGCCGUCCACAGAACAUAACUGUACUUGUGAACAGAAAAGCAGGAGACUGAUCACUCCACAGACCUUGUAUUCACACCCAGUUUCAGGACUUAACAUAUGCACCCAAUGAGAAGAUACUUCUAAAACCUUGACAAUUUGUAAACUGGAAAGCCCCACUAAGAAAAGGUUAUCCAGUGAUUGGCCUGCAAAAACACAGGAACGUUCUAAUUAUCGUACCCUAUCACCUAUAACAACACACUGUAAGGAGAAUACAGCACCACUUUUUAAGACAAAUUUGAACUUGGGACAAUCAAAGGCAACCAAGUAAGAUACAUUUAGAAUGUUCUCAUUUUGAUGUAAACUGUGUAUGAGAAUAUGUUCAGUUUGUAGUAAU